rnacentral:tRNA from 1 species
GGGCAAUUAGCUCAGGCGGCUAGAGCGCAGCGUUGACAUCGCUGAGGUCACAGGUUCAAGUCCUGUAUUGCCCACUA